rnacentral:rRNA from 1 species
UACGGGUGAGCAAGCGUUGUUCGGAUUUACUGGGCGUAAAGGGCGCGUUGGCUGUCAGCACAAGUCAGUUGUGAAAUCUCCGGGCUUAACUCGGAAAGGUCAACUGAUACUGUGCGACUAGAGUGCGGAAGGGGCAACUGGAAUUCUUGGUGUAGCGGUGAAAUGCGUAGAUAUCAAGAGGAACACCUGCGGCGAAGGCGGGUUGCUGGGCCGACACUGACGCUGAGGCGCGAAAGCCAGGGGAGCGAACGGG